GAUGAACGCUGGCGGCGUGCUUAACACAUGCAAGUCGAACGAAGCACUUUAUUUGAUUUCCUUCGGGACUGAUUAUUUUGUGACUGAGUGGCGGACGGGUGAGUAACGCGUGGGUAACCUGCCUUGUACAGGGGGAUAACAGUUGGAAACGGCUGCUAAUACCGCAUAAGCGCACAGCAUCGCAUGAUGCAGUGUGAAAAACUCCGGUGGUAUAAGAUGGACCCGCGUUGGAUUAGCUAGUUGGUGAGGUAACGGCCCACCAAGGCGACGAUCCAUAGCCGACAAGGGAGGGAGACCGGCCACAUUGGAACUGAGACACGGCCCAAACUCCUACGGGAGGCGGCAGUGGGGAAUAUUGCACAAUGGGCGAAGGCCUGAUGCAGCGACGCCGCGUGAGCGAAGAAGUAUUUCGGUAUGUAAAGCUCUAUCAGCAGGGGAGAUAAUGACGGUACCUGACGAAGAAGCACCGGCUAAAUACGUG
rnacentral:rRNA from 1 species